AAAAAUAAAAUUUUGAUAUAACGACCUAAAAUGAACAAACAAGCAUUAGACAACCAAAAAUAGAACAGAAAAUUUAGUUGAAAAAAAUAUAUGCAUAAACAUAAAACAAAUGCAGCAGCAAUUGAACUUCCUUAAUAAUACAACCAUAAUCACUAGCCCCCAAUAACCAACCGAUUCACUUACAAAACCUACUCGAGUAACACAGUUAGUGUCCGAUGAAGCAUAACCAAAGACCACACAAUGCCUCCACAAAAGGUUCCACACAUCUACUGUAUCUCAUCUACUUCACACCAGCUUCGAAUACAGCAACCAGAGUUCUACUUCAGCACUGAGUCAACCAUCACAAAGGUCGUAUAAUGCAGGAUCUAUAACGCCGUUGAAAUCCAUGAGGCUAUAUAUAUUGGGAGAUGCGACUGUGAAGAACUGCAUCUUUUUUCGAGGCCGACCGGCCUCGACCUCGACCUCCACCAGCGUAUCCACAGUGCCGCUCUUUGGCUCGGUCGGCAGGCGCAACGACGAAGCCGACGAACCUCGCCCUCCGCAUACUGAUUUGAGGUUCACCA
rnacentral:lncRNA from 1 species